rnacentral:rRNA from 1 species
CGGAAGGCCCUUCGGGGUACUCGAGCGGCGAACGGGUGAGUAACACGUGAGCAACCUGCCCUAGGCUUUGGGAUAACCCCGGGAAACCGGGGCUAAUACCGAAUAUGACCUGGCCUCGCAUGAGGCUUGGUGGAAAGUUUUUCGGCCUGGGAUGGGCUCGCGGCCUAUCAGCUUGUUGGUGGGGUGAUGGCCUACCAAGGCGACGACGGGUAGCCGGCCUGAGAGGGCGACCGGCCACACUGGGACUGAGACACGGCCCAGACUCCUACGGGAGGCAGCAGUGGGGAAUAUUGCACAAUGGGCGGAAGCCUGAUGCAGCGACGCCGCGUGAGGGAUGACGGCCUUCGGGUUGUAAACCUCUUUCAGCAGGGACGAAGCGUAAGUGACGGUACCUGCAGAAGAAGCGCCGGCCAACUACGUGCCAGCAGCCGCGGUAAGACGUAGGGCGCGAGCGUUGUCCGGAUUUAUUGGGCGUAAAGAGCUCGUAGGCGGCUUGUCGCGUCGACCGUGAAAACUUGGGGCUCAACCCCAAGCCUGCGGUCGAUACGGGCAGGCUAGAGUUCGGUAGGGGAGACUGGAAUUCCUGGUGUAGCGGUGAAAUGCGCAGAUAUCAGGAGGAACACCGGUGGCGAAGGCGGGUCUCUGGGCCGAUACUGACGCUGAGGAGCGAAAGCGUGGGGAGCGAACAGGAUUAGAUACCCUGGUAGUCCACGCUGUAAACGUUGGGCGCUAGGUGUGGGGGGCCUCUCCGGUUCCCUGUGCCGCAGCUAACGCAUUAAGCGCCCCGCCUGG